GACGAACGCUGGCGGCGUGCUUAACACAUGCAAGUCGAACGAAGUGGAGAAAGGGUGAGUAACGCGUAAUCAACCUGCCAUUCAGAGGGGGACAACAGUGGAAAACGACAGCGAAAACCGCAAACUGAAGGAGGGGAGUGAGUCGGAUAAGCUAGUUGGAGGGGUAACGGCCCACCAAGGGGAUGAUAAGUAGCCGGUCUGGGCGGAUGAACGGCCACAUUGGGACUGAGACACGGCCCAGACUCCUACGGGAGGCAGCAGUUGGGAAUCUUCCGCAAUGUACGAAAGUCUGACGGAGCAACGCCGCGUGAGUGAUGACGGCCUUCGGGUUGUAAAGCUCUGUUAAUCGGGACGCGGUACCGGAAUAGAAAGCCACGGCUAACUACGUGCCAGCAGCCGCGGUAAUAC
rnacentral:rRNA from 1 species